GCCAUUUACGUCGCAUUUGCGGAAAGAUUACAAGGCCUCAUGGUGACACUGGAGUUCUAUGUGCCAAGUUCAAGUAUCCGCUCCCCAGGUUCCGCUUGAAUCGGCUGAGGGUAUACAUGUAUCGUCCAAGGUUCAACACGUUUGGUGUUAUCACCUACGGAGACUGAUCUUGCAGUUCCCCCAUCAACCAUCGUCUAAUUCUUUUUUGGACAAUAAACCAUUGUCUAAUUGAUCCGUGGAUUUGAUGAGUU